CGACCGCUGGCGGCAGGCCUAACACAUGCACGUCGAGCGAGGACUUCGGUUCUAGCGGCGGACGGGUGAGUAACGCGUGGGAAUGUGCCCUUCUCUACGGAAUAGCCCUGGGAAACUGGGAGUAAUACCGUAUACGCCCUAUUGGGGAAAGAUUUAUCGGAGAAGGAUCAGCCCGCGUUGGAUUAGGUAGUUGGUGGGGUAAUGGCCUACCAAGCCGACGAUCCAUAGCUGGUUUGAGAGGAUGAUCAGCCACACUGGGACUGAGACACGGCCCAGACUCCUACGGGAGGCAGCAGUGGGGAAUCUUAGACAAUGGGGGCAACCCUGAUCGAGCCAUGCCGCGUGAGUGAUGAAGGCCUUAGGGUUAUAAAGCUCUUUCAGCUGGGAAGAUAAUGACGGUACCAGCAGAAGAAGCCCCGGCUAACUCCGUG
rnacentral:rRNA from 1 species